GGGUUGUGAGGUUAAGCGACUAAGCGUACACGGUGGAUGCCCUGGCAGUCAGAGGCGAUGAAGGACGUGCUAAUCUGCGAUAAGCGUCGGUAAGGUGAUAUGAACCGUUAUAACCGGCGAUUUCCGAAUGGGGAAACCCAGUGUGUUUCGACACACUAUCAUUAACUGAAUCCAUAGGUUAAUGAGGCGAACCGGGGGAACUGAAACAUCUAAGUACCCCGAGGAAAAGAAAUCAACCGAGAUUCCCCCAGUAGCGGCGAGCGAACGGGGAGCAGCCCAGAGCCUGAAUCAGUGUGUGUGUUAGUGGAAGCGUCUGGAAAGGCGCGCGAUACAGGGUGACAGCCCCGUACACAAAAAUGCACAUACUGUGAGCUCGAUGAGUAGGGCGGGACACGUGGUAUCCUGUCUGAAUAUGGGGGGACCAUCCUCCAAGGCUAAAUACUCCUGACUGACCGAUAGUGAACCAGUACCGUGAGGGAAAGGCGAAAAGAACCCCGGCGAGGGGAGUGAAAAAGAACCUGAAACCGUGUACGUACAAGCAGUGGGAGCACGCUUAGGCGUGUGACUGCGUACCUUUUGUAUAAUGGGUCAGCGACUUAUAUUCUGUAGCAAGGUUAACCGAAUAGGGGAGCCGAAGGGAAACCGAGUCUUAACUGGGCGUUAAGUUGCAGGGUAUAGACCCGAAACCCGGUGAUCUAGCCAUGGGCAGGUUGAAGGUUGGGUAACACUAACUGGAGGACCGAACCGACUAAUGUUGAAAAAUUAGCGGAUGACUUGUGGCUGGGGGUGAAAGGCCAAUCAAACCGGGAGAUAGCUGGUUCUCCCCGAAAGCUAUUUAGGUAGCGCCUCGUGAAUUCAUCUCCGGGGGUAGAGCACUGUUUCGGCAAGGGGGUCAUCCCGACUUACCAACCCGAUGCAAACUGCGAAUACCGGAGAAUGUUAUCACGGGAGACACACGGCGGGUGCUAACGUCCGUCGUGAAGAGGGAAACAACCCAGACCGCCAGCUAAGGUCCCAAAGUCAUGGUUAAGUGGGAAACGAUGUGGGAAGGCCCAGACAGCCAGGAUGUUGGCUUAGAAGCAGCCAUCAUUUAAAGAAAGCGUAAUAGCUCACUGGUCGAGUCGGCCUGCGCGGAAGAUGUAACGGGGCUAAACCAUGCACCGAAGCUGCGGCAGCGACGCUGAUGCGUUGUUGGGUAGGGGAGCGUUCUGUAAGCCUGUGAAGGUGUGCUGUGAGGCAUGCUGGAGGUAUCAGAAGUGCGAAUGCUGACAUAAGUAACGAUAAAGCGGGUGAAAAGCCCGCUCGCCGGAAGACCAAGGGUUCCUGUCCAACGUUAAUCGGGGCAGGGUGAGUCGACCCCUAAGGCGAGGCCGAAAGGCGUAGUCGAUGGGAAACAGGUUAAUAUUCCUGUACUUGGUGUUACUGCGAAGGGGGGACGGAGAAGGCUAUGUUGGCCGGGCGACGGUUGUCCCGGUUUAAGCGUGUAGGCUGGUUUUCCAGGCAAAUCCGGAAAACUAAGGCUGAGGCGUGAUGACGAGGCACUACGGUGCUGAAGCAACAAAUGCCCUGCUUCCAGGAAAAGCCUCUAAGCAUCAGGUAACAUCAAAUCGUACCCCAAACCGACACAGGUGGUCAGGUAGAGAAUACCAAGGCGCUUGAGAGAACUCGGGUGAAGGAACUAGGCAAAAUGGUGCCGUAACUUCGGGAGAAGGCACGCUGAUAUGUAGGUGAAGCGACUUGCUCGUGGAGCUGAAAUCAGUCGAAGAUACCAGCUGGCUGCAACUGUUUAUUAAAAACACAGCACUGUGCAAACACGAAAGUGGACGUAUACGGUGUGACGCCUGCCCGGUGCCGGAAGGUUAAUUGAUGGGGUCAGCGCAAGCGAAGCUCUUGAUCGAAGCCCCGGUAAACGGCGGCCGUAACUAUAACGGUCCUAAGGUAGCGAAAUUCCUUGUCGGGUAAGUUCCGACCUGCACGAAUGGCGUAAUGAUGGCCAGGCUGUCUCCACCCGAGACUCAGUGAAAUUGAACUCGCUGUGAAGAUGCAGUGUACCCGCGGCAAGACGGAAAGACCCCGUGAACCUUUACUAUAGCUUGACACUGAACAUUGAGCCUUGAUGUGUAGGAUAGGUGGGAGGCUUUGAAGUGUGGACGCCAGUCUGCAUGGAGCCGACCUUGAAAUACCACCCUUUAAUGUUUGAUGUUCUAACGUUGACCCGUGAUCCGGGUUGCGGACAGUGUCUGGUGGGUAGUUUGACUGGGGCGGUCUCCUCCUAAAGAGUAACGGAGGAGCACGAAGGUUGGCUAAUCCUGGUCGGACAUCAGGAGGUUAGUGCAAUGGCAUAAGCCAGCUUGACUGCGAGCGUGACGGCGCGAGCAGGUGCGAAAGCAGGUCAUAGUGAUCCGGUGGUUCUGAAUGGAAGGGCCAUCGCUCAACGGAUAAAAGGUACUCCGGGGAUAACAGGCUGAUACCGCCCAAGAGUUCAUAUCGACGGCGGUGUUUGGCACCUCGAUGUCGGCUCAUCACAUCCUGGGGCUGAAGUAGGUCCCAAGGGUAUGGCUGUUCGCCAUUUAAAGUGGUACGCGAGCUGGGUUUAGAACGUCGUGAGACAGUUCGGUCCCUAUCUGCCGUGGGCGCUGGAGAACUGAGGGGGGCUGCUCCUAGUACGAGAGGACCGGAGUGGACGCAUCACUGGUGUUCGGGUUGUCAUGCCAAUGGCACUGCCCGGUAGCUAAAUGCGGAAGAGAUAAGUGCUGAAAGCAUCUAAGCACGAAACUUGCCCCGAGAUGAGUUCUCCCUGACUCCUUGAGAGUCCUGAAGGAACGUUGAAGACGACGACGUUGAUAGGCCGGGUGUGUAAGCGCAGCGAUGCGUUGAGCUAACCGGUACUAAUGAACCGUGAGGCUUAACCUUACAACGCCGAAGCUGUU
rnacentral:rRNA from 9 species